AGUGAACGCUGGCGGUAGGCCUAACACAUGCAAGUCGAACGGCAGCACAGUAAGAGCUUGCUCUUACGGGUGGCGAGUGGCGGACGGGUGAGGAAUACAUCGGAAUCUACUUUUUAGUGGGGGAUAACGUAGGGAAACUUACGCUAAUACCGCAUACGACCUACGGGUGAAAGCAGGGGAUCUUCGGACCUUGCGCGAUUGAAUGAGCCGAUGUCGGAUUAGCUAGUUGGCGGGGUAAAGGCCCACCAAGGCGACGAUCCGUAGCUGGUCUGAGAGGAUGAUCAGCCACACUGGAACUGAGACACGGUCCAGACUCCUACGGGAGGCAGCAGUGGGGAAUAUUGGACAAUGGGCGCAAGCCUGAUCCAGCCAUACCGCGUGGGUGAAGAAGGCCUUCGGGUUGUAAAGCCCUUUUGUUGGGAAGGAAAAGCAGCAGGUUAAUACCCCGCUGUUCUGACGGUACCCAAAGAAUAAGCACCGGCUAACUUCGUG
rnacentral:rRNA from 1 species